rnacentral:rRNA from 1 species
UACGGAAGGUCCGGGCGUUAUCCGGAUUUAUUGGGUUUAAAGGGAGCGUAGGCCGCCGAUUAAGCGUGUUGUGAAAUGCCGCAGCUCAACUGUGGCACUGCAGCGCGAACUGGUUGGCUUGAGUGCGCGGAAGGCAGGCGGAAUUUGUGGUGUAGCGGUGAAAUGCUUAGAUAUCACGAAGAACCCCGAUUGCGAAGGCAGCUUGCCGCAGCGUAACUGACGCUGAAGCUCGAAAGUGCGGGUAUCGAACAGG